UACAGAGGUCUCAAGCGUUUGUUCGGAUUCAUUGGGCGUAAAGGGUGCGUAGGUGGCGCUGUAAGUCGGGUGUGAAAUUUCGGAGCUUAACUCCGAAACUGCAUUCGAUACUGCGGUGCUUGAGGACUGGAGAGGAGACUGGAAUUCAUGGGUGUAGCAGUGAAAUGCGUAGAGAUCAUGAGGAAGACCAGUGGCGAAGGCGGCUUGC
rnacentral:rRNA from 1 species